GAAACAGCUGAAAGUUCUGAAAGUUAUUCUUUAAUGUCUAAAUUUGUCUGUAAAUUUAACAAUAUCAGAAACUGUUUGUCAACUUGGCAAAAGAGAGUUAAAAAUUAGGCCAUGGCGGAUAUAUAAAUGAAUACAUAAUAUAUUAGGAAAGAUGUACUUUAUUAAAAGAGGUUUUAAUAGGGCAAAAGAAAAUCAAACUCUAUAGUUGGCGCCUCUGUUGGUUUUUCUCUCUGUUUUUUCUCCUAUGGGUAACCUUGUGGCUGCGAUGAGUGAAACCUCUGACUUUUAGCAGGAACAUGAAUACAUAAAGCAUAUGUACCUAAUAAAAUAUUACAUACAAA